AUAGACGUUCACCGAAUUGUUCGCCGGACUCUUAACUAAGGCCUCCCAUUUUAUCUCGCUGACUUUCUUAAUUAAGGUAAUUUCAACCUUACUUGAAAAUAAUUUGAAUGACGAUUUUUCAGGAACAAUUUCUUCAUACAGAGGAUCUAAAACCAAGGAGAAUAUUGAUCCAUCUUCAAGCUUAAUUUCUAUUUUCAACUAAAAUGGUUAGCCGGACGGUUUAGCUUUGCACAGUCCUUACAGUGUUCUUUUCCAUUAAUAAGCUCACAUCUUCAUCUUUGACUUUCUUCGCAUAUAUGUCGAUAUUUAGGGAAAAAGACGUUUGGGACCAGUCAUAACGAAUUCUAUUUGAAAGUUUUUCUUCGUUUUUUUCUAUUUGGCCUUCCGGCGCCUUCAAGCUCAUAUUAAGGAACUCUUCGUCUCCUUCAAUUUUGGCAGCUUCUAAUUCCGGAAUAUUUGGACAUUCAUCUGGAAUGAGCGAUGAGGUGUCCUGAUUCUGUUGUUCGUGAACGAUCGUAAGCAUGCUGUCUAGUUGAACUUGCCAUUUUGUUAAAUCUUCUUUUUUUAAAUGUUUUAGGGCAAAUCCAAAACAUAUGGCAGAACUUUGAUAUUGCUCAAGUAAGUAAUACGCAAGCCUGUAAAACAUAGUCAGCAAAUUACAGAAUUAUAGGAAUUUAGAAAUCGUAUUUACCCUCUUAGAGAUUGACAAUAACCAAUUAAACCGGUAUCGGAUUUCUUUUUUGCCAGCAAUAAAGCCCAAUUAGCAUGCUUUAGACAACUAAAUGGUUUGUAGGUAUUUAUGCAAGUUGUAAAACACUUGAUAUGCUCCUCUAUUGAGAAUGAUGGUUCUUUUACGAUACAUAGGUUUCUCUGCUUCGCCAAAUCAUUUGACAGUUUAUCAGAUAAUUUGAAAAGGGAAUCAUUAAUAUCAGAAAGAUCUACACCCAUUUUAUGGUUUUGCUUGUAAAACGGCGCAGAAGCUUGGUGGAUUAGAAAUUGAAGGUGGUGAUAAAAGCUAAUGCCCAGUGAAAGCGUGUAAGGAAUACAGAUCAUCAAGAUUAUUAUUAUAUGUAAGAUGGACCAAACAUGGGUUGAUAACUUAAUAA